rnacentral:rRNA from 1 species
UGGAGCAUGUGGUUUAAUUCGAUGCAACGCGAAGAACCUUACCACUUCUUGACAUGGAGAUUAGAUCCUUCUUAACAGAAGGGCGCAGUUCGGCUGGAUCUCGCACAGGUGCUGCAUGGCUGUCGUCAGCUCGUGUCGUGAGAUGUUGGGUUAAGUCCCGCAACGAGCGUAACCCUCAUCCUUAGUUGCCAGCGGGUUAAGCCGGGCACUUUAAGGAGACUGCCAGUGGUAAACUGGAGGAAGGUGGGGAUGAUGUCAAGUCAGCACGGCCCUUAUGGGGUGGGCUACACACGUGCUACAAUGGUGACUACAAUAGGUUGCAACG